rnacentral:rRNA from 1 species
UACGUAGGGAGCAAGCGUUGUCCGGAAUUACUGGGCGUAAAGGGUGCGUAGGCGGUUUGUCAAGUCGAAUGUGAAAUACCGGGGCUUAACUCCGGGGCUGCAUUCGAAACUGGCAGACUUGAGUGCAGGAGAGGAAAGCGGAAUUCCUAGUGUAGCGGUGAAAUGCGUAGAUAUUAGGAGGAACACCGGUGGCGAAGGCGGCUUUCUGGACUGUAACUGACGCUGAGGCACGAAAGCGUGGGGAGCAAACAGGAUUAGAUACCCUGGUAGUCCACGCUGUAAACGAUGGAUACUAGGUGUAGGGGCCAUAAGGUCUCUGUGCCGCAGCAAACGCAUUAAGUAUCCCGCCUGGGGAGUACGACCGCAAGGUUGAA